GUUGAACGCUGGCGGCGUGCCUAAUACAUGCAAGUCGAACGGUGACAGGCGGUCGUUGCCUGACUUGGGUCAGACGCGUGCGUAAGGGUACCGCACGUAUCCCCUGCCUUGGAGUAAGGCAUCAAAAGCUGUACUGAUACCUCAUACCAUCUGAGAAUGGAAGCGGCGUGCCGAUCAGCAAUAUUGGGCCUUUCCCCUUUUGAACGGCCGAUGUCGGAUUUGCUAGUUGGUGGGGUAAAGGCCGCCCAAGGCAACGAUCCGUAGCUGGUCUGCGAGGAGGACCGGCCACACUGGACCUGAGAAACGGCCCAGACUCCUACGGGAGGAGGCAGUGGGGAAUUUUGGCAAAUGGGCGAAAGCCUGAUCCAGCAAUGCCGCGUGCGGGAAGAAGGCCUUCGGGUUGUAAACCGCUUUUGGCAGGAACGAAACGUUGUAGGCUAAUACCGGCACCUAAUGACGGUACCUGAAGAAAAAGCAACGGCUAACUACGUG
rnacentral:rRNA from 1 species